GCACUGUUGAGGAGUCUCAUACUAGGGCGAAACGGCCGUCCAGUGC
rfam:Schistosoma mattheei strain Denwood, Zambia genome assembly, scaffold: SMTD_scaffold0007547